CCCAACUAUCCCUAUUAAUCAUUACAUCGAUCCUAGAAACCAACAAAAUAGAAUCGGAUGUCCUAUUUCAUUAUUCCAUGCUAAUGUAUUCAAGCGUUGGCCUGCUUUAAACACUCUAAUUUUUUCAAGGUAACAGUCCUAAUUCCCCACAACAUCAACCGAAUGACAUCAUGGUUCCUUAGAAGGUGAGGACCAAUGGGAUCAGUACAUACCGAGGGCAUGACCGACCCAUCGAUCCCGAAAUUCAACUACGAGCUUUUUAACUGCAACAACUUUAAUAUACGCUAUUGGAGCUGGAAUUACCGCGGCUGCUGGCACCAGACUUGCCCUCCA
rnacentral:misc_RNA from 1 species